rnacentral:lncRNA from 1 species
GGGCCCGGUGCAUUUCGCGCUCUUCGUGUCGGUGCUCUUCUGGCUGCUGACCCUGGGCCUCUACUUCCUCACGCUGCUGGGCAAGCACGAGCUGGUGCCUGUGCUCGGCUCGCGCUGGCUGGUGGUCAACGUGGCGCACGACCUGCUGGCGGCCGCGCUCUACGGAGCCGCGACGGGCAUCAUGAUCAGCCAGACGCAGAGCCACAGUUACUGCAACCUCAAGGAUUACCAGAUGUCCUGCGCCUACCACGCCUUCCUGGCGGCCGCGGUCUGCGGCGGCCUCUGCCUCGGCCUCUACCUGCUCUCGGCGCUCUAUGGCUGCUGCCGCCACUACCAAGGCGAGCAGGAGGUGGCUUGAGGCCGCCGCGCCGCGGGGCGGUGGACCCGUCCUUCCCGCCGCCGCCGCCCCGCGCCCGUGCGCCCCGGCACCCUCCCCUCGCCCCUCAUUCCCGCCGCCGCCCGCGUCCCAGCGCCCUGAUCGCAGAUCCCGCCCGACGGCAGCGCCGCCGCCCAGAAUCCGUGUCAGCUACGCGGGAUUUGUUGUCUCCCGGGACGGGGGCAGGGCUGCAUCCGAGGGGCUGACGCACACACUCAGAUGGGCCGCCCCGAGGCGAAGACUCGCGGUUCCUUUUCCCUUUCCCGGCCGAGAGCUAGACGUGGACAGAAGCCGCGUAGAUCCGGGGGUGGCUCCCAAAUUGGAACCAGUCUACUGGCGGCGCCACGGUCCCCUCCCUCCCGCCCCGCGUUCAGAAGAGCACCCCCUUGCUUUGGCCUCUCUUCCAACCUCGCGUGCUGAAAAAGUCAGGCAUGCCGCCGCAGGCGGAGCGGGGGACGAGCCUCCACUUGUCCCGGGAUGAGCGACGGGUGUGGUUUUAGCUUGGGCUCGUGCGGGCAUCCUGCGCAGUCCUUCCAGGCCCAUCCCUCUGUGCUUUGAGGUCUUGGGGUGAGGCCCGUCUGCAAAGGUGAGGAUGGAUAGGAAGGGCCUCGAGGGAUGUAUUCUUGCACCUUUGGAGGCUUCUUUCUCCUUUGCCUGUUCUGCCUUUGUCCUCGGGGUUCACGGAGGCCAGGUCCUAAUGCCCACUGGCAUUUCUGGCCUCAUCUUCCCGGCCUUCCUCUCACAGGCUUCCGCUCCAUCCCCACUUGCCAAUCUUUUUCCUUUAGGAAUCUCACACCACCGUCUAUGAAUGUUAGGCGAGCCCCACCCCUUCUUUUUAUAGAUGGAGACUCAGAGAUUGCUCUUGGGAGCUGCCGGAAAAAAAAGAUUAGAAGCCCGUCUUUGGACUCCUAGUCUAGCACUGUUUACUUUAAAGCAGUGGCUGUUGCCAGGAAUCCGGGUUUGGGAGCUACCCUCUAAUAGAGAUUUUCAAGGCCAAAAGGGUUUGUCAAGGUGCUUUCUCCUCCUCUGGGAGAGUCACAAUGCUCAUUAGCAUAGCAAAGGCUCUGUGAAGUCCUGCUCUAAAAGAAGCCCAAGUAAUUUAGUUUCCAGUGUUACUCACCUCUGGAUCUGGACCAGGACCAGUUUUUCCCACUUUAAGGUUCCAAGCAGCUCUGUUUUGUCUGGGCUCUCCUUUGACACCAAGGGGCCCAACCCUUUGGCUGCGGUCUGUUUGAAGAUGGGGGGGCACUCCUUUUCCCCAGGGAGUUCCCUUAGCAGAGGGAGCCCCACAACCCCUCUGUGAAAGAGAAGAUAGCUGCUCUCCAGACCAGUGAGAGCCUGGGAACUGUGGAUUUGAACCUUUCUUUACAUUAUCUGGGAAAUGAAGCCAAAGUUCUCCAGAUGGUGUUCCAGUCAAAAGGAACAUCACCUGUAAGAGAUGCUAGCAUUGACCAUGAGCAGCUGGCAGGAGUGAGUCACAUCAAAGAGAGAAGAAAACUCUGGAUCUGGAGUGAACAGCUGGCCCAGCCUGAUAAGAUUUCCACGUGGCUAAGGCCAUGGAGACUCCCAGAGCCCGGCAUGCCGACCUCUCCCAGGGCCCGCUUCCCUGGGCCGGCAACACCAUUCUGACCUGGGUCAGCAGAGGGCUUCAUUGGCCAUAGAGGGAGGAGGGGAGAGGGAACAGCCUUUGCCCAGCAGCUCCCUUUCUACAGCAUCCAAUGGAAGAGCCAGGAUGGUGAAGGUCACCACUUAAGCUGCGUCCUCAGCUCGGAUCCGGCUCCUUGAGGACCUCUUCCUCACCCCAGCCCAUGGUGCUCUGUCUGCAGUCGAGACCUCACUCAGGAGCAGACGUCUCCUCGGCCUUCAUGAUACCUUAUCCAUCCGCACGUGCCUGAAACAUUCCUGAGCCCACUGGCUCAUCCAGAUGUGCCUUCCUGCUUGGCCUCCAGCUGCUUCUCCACGUGUGAGAAGGACAUGAAGACGGCCCCCACACCCACCCUCUCCUCCCCUCGGGGCCCUGUGCCAUGAGAAUGGCCACCUGAGCUGGCCCAGAACUUUUGGAUGUGGGAGGCAGCCUCCUUGGCCUCCCUCUGUGGACUCUAGGACCCAAUCCAAGCGAGACUGCUGUGGGCUGCCUCCAGCCCAAACGCCUGGGACCAAGCAUGGGCCCAGGAGAGGAUUUCUGCAGUGUUCUACGAUGGCCCAGAGAGAGGGUGAAUGUGGGGUGGGGUGGGGGGUGGGGAGAGGGGACCAAUGUGCCUUGUUCCGUCGUCUAGUGGUGAUUACUAAUGUGCCUUUCUGAAUAAAGUUUGGUUUUUC